rnacentral:rRNA from 2 species
AACGACUCUCGGCAACGGAUAUCUCGGCUCUCGCAUCGAUGAAGAACGUAGCGAAAUGCGAUACUUGGUGUGAAUUGCAGAAUCCCGUGAACCAUCGAGUCUUUGAACGCAAGUUGCGCCCGAAGCCAUUAGGCCAGGGCACGUCUGGCUGGGUGUCACRCAACG